rnacentral:tRNA from 1 species
GGACGGUACCGUCAAGGCGACAAACCCGGUUCGGUAACCGGGGGCUUCGGUUUGCAACCGCUGGGGGUUCGAUUCCUCUACCGUCCG